GAUAUAUCGCUAUCGAUGUUUCUGCACUUCUACUGGUCAAAUUAACAACGUUGCGUUACUGACAUUUUCGAUCAAAAUCAAACGAAAAUUGCAACAAGAAACUUAAGGCAAGAAAAUAGAAAGCAGCCGUAAAAUAAGUCAAUUAAUUGUAUAAUUAACGCUUAGCAGCUUUAACAUAGAAAACAACGCACAAAGAUGGAGAACAACGAGUCGCCCGCACCUUCUGGUUCCAACAACAAUGAUUUUCCCAUACUUCCGCCACCGCCAAACAACAACAACUACAACAACUUUAACGAUCCGUCGAACAGCAACAACAAUGCCGCCCAGAAGCGCCUGCAGCAGACACAGGCCAAAGUGGACGAAGUCGUUGGCAUUAUGCGCGUGAAUGUCGAGAAAGUGCUGGAACGUGAUCAGAAACUAUCGGAGCUGGGAGAGCGUGCCGAUCAAUUGGAACAGGGUGCCUCACAGUUUGAGCAGCAGGCGGGCAAACUGAAGCGCAAGCAAUGGUGGGCCAACAUGAAGAUGAUGAUCAUUCUGGGCGUCAUCGCUGUCGUCUUGCUCAUCAUCAUCAUAGUCUCAAUAUACAAUUGAUAAACACGAGAAAUAGAUAAAAACAAAAGUAUAUAAAAAAACGUGCAGCAAGGCAACUUGUUGAACUUGCAACAUUACGCAUUACUCUAAGGCAGCUACUACUACAUACACACACGUACACACACACAGAUACAAAUCCAAUUUUAUGUAUUUGUGUACUAAAAAAAAGCAGUUAAUACAAAUGAAAACGUUUAUAGUCGAAAGGUAAAAAGAAAACAUUCGUCGUUGCGUGUUCUAUGUGCUAAUUUGUUUAUUUGCCCCCGUUUAUAAGCCAAGUUAGCAACGAGAUAAUUUUUGUUUUAUAACUUGUACAUAUAGAUUUUGCGCCUUGCCAUCGAGCGACAGCAGCAGCAACAGCGUUAAGGCAACGGAGCACGCCACGUAAGACGCCUCUUGCCACGCCCCCUCCAAAAAGCAACAUUCAACAACAAAACCAGAAAGAAACUAACAACGAGGAAAAUGCGAUAGAAAGAAACUCUGUUGCCUUCUGUAUUGGCCUUAUGUCUAAAGAAAACUUGUCUAAAAAAACAAUUAAUAUUAACAAAACUUCAAAACCGAUUGUAAUUGUUAUUAAUAAUCCUUCGUCAAUGUUACCAAGAAAACAUUAUAUGCACAAUUAACUAUUGUAAAUGCAACAAUUUUGAUGCCAACCCUUUGUUGGCAUCGUAAAGAAAAUCGUUAAAAAAAAACAAUAAUAAUAAUAAUGAGGCAUUUGAAAUGUCAAUGUGCGUGUGUGUGUGUGUAUGUGAACGUGAGAGGAUUUUCCUUUUGCAGCACAACAAAAAAAAAAGAAAGAAAGAAAACUAAAUUUAUAUAUACACAUAAUUGUAAACACCAGACAAACACACAACACAACGCGAUUGUUCUAUAAAUUAUUUAUACUUGUGUGGAACAAUUUAUACUUUAUACAUAUACAUAUAUAUAUAUAUAAUACAUAUAAACUUAAUGGCAUGUAAUUUGUUAUAAAAAAAAAAACAAACCAAACUUUUCGGUGUUGAAACUAAAUGUAUUGCAACGUACGUUUGCCACAAAGAAACGCGAACAUCUUUUUUUGUAGAAAAACUAUUGAAAACCAAAACAAAACAUCUCAACUGUUAUUAUUAUUUACACAUUUCUUAUUUUUGCACACUCGUAUGUAUUUUACUGCGGAAAACUUUUAUCGAUCGAAGGAUUCAAUGUUCCGAAACACGAGACGCAAACUUGUUUACACACGCCGCACGAAUGUGACGUAAGUUUUGAGCAACUUGCAACUGAGAAGCGUAAACAUUUGUCCGUUUGCCUGAGUAGAGAAUCAAGUGGCUGAGUUAAGGAGUUGAAUGUGCUUCGCUUCUCUCUGUGUGUUCGUGUGUUUGUUUGCCAAACAGCUGUUUUGUGGACAUGCGCCUAGGUGUGCAACUUGCAACGCAACCCUGCCACAAAACAGAUAUUCAAAUCUUGGGGUUAAUGCCAGCCAACUCGAGGCCAGCAGCAGUUGUCCACACGUAGCCCAUGUAGAGUGCAUAGAAGUUCAGAUAAUACAGCUGACCGAUGAGUAUGUGAUCUCCGAUGGCAUCCAGAUGAUAAAAGUUCGGCUUGCGUAUCGAGGCAGCAAAGAUAAUCACAAACUGCAAUGGAAAUUGGUGAAUAUAUUGAGCUUAGCGUAAGGUGACGAGAUUAAAAGAGACUUGGAAAGCAGUUGUAGCUUUCAGAUUCUGAAUGUUUCAUUUCAAUUGGAUUAAUGUGCUUUUGUCAGCUAGCAAAGAAAGAGAACUUUUCGUUCAAUAUAUCUAAAAAAUAAUCACAUACUGAAAUUAAAAUUGAUGAAUUAAUUGAGCUUAGCGUAAGAUUGGGAGUUUAAAAGAAAUUUAGAAAGCAUUUGCAGCUUACAAAUUCUGAAUGUUGAAUUUUGUUUAGAUUAAAUUUGUGAGUUAGCAAACAAAUGGAGCUUUGCGAUUAAUAUAUCUAAAGAAUUCGCAUUUUCUGAGACGUCAGAUGAAUAUAAUUUUGAAAGCCUUGAAACAUUAGAUAUAUUGGCCAUAAAAGUUGAUCAAAAUAAACUUGCAAAGGGAGAUUUAAAAGCACGCUUUCUAUUUUCUAAAGAGAAAGUAUAUUAGAGCUGCGUUGAGACUGAUAUAGAGAGCUUUGAGUUUAAUAUAGCAAUAACGAAUUCAAUAUUCUAAGCCCGUGAAAGUUGUACUCAUAACAUAAUUUCGAAAUCGUAGAAAAAGCAGAUAAAAAUUACUUUCGAUGAGACCUUACUGUAAGGAAGAAAGGUAUAUAGGCAGCCUUAGCAAUGGCUUUUGAAAGUGACUGAAGCAAUGUGCUUUUAAAAGCACAUUUAAGCUUUACGAACAAGAUACGCAUAAAUCCGAAAGCUCUACUCCUAAGUUUAUAGUUUUUUUUUUUUAGAAUAAUCUGAUAGCUGAGCUCUCAUGUGCUUUCCCAUUUUCGUUAUCAAUAAGCUUAAACAAAAACAUAUCCUUACUAUAUUAGAGAGCAUGCUGUACACGAAAAGUGUGGGAAAUUCAAUAGUCACACGCCUCAUUUCCGAGCAGACAAUAAUGCCAAAGCUGGUAAGCACAAAGAGACGUUCGCUCCAGCGUAUGACAUUGUGACGAGUGAC